AGUCCAAGAGGUCAGCGGGACCAGAAGCCACAGCCUUAGUGGGGCCUCAGGAGAGCAGCAAGCUGCGUCUACCUUGGAAAAGUGGAGAAAGGACUGCAGUGAGCUGGGCAGGGAGUAGUGGGGAGGUGACAGGGCAGAGGAAGCAGGGAACAGACAGGAAAAAAAGAUGAUGCCCUGGGCCAGGUGGCCGCCACUGCUACCAUCACUGUAAGUGGAAAACUCUUUGCCUUCUCCUUACCCCUGUGGCUGAUGCCCCCAUUCUUCACCCCGCUUCUUUAGUAAUAGGUGCUGGCAACUAAGGAGCAGAGUCUGAUUUGAGGUUGCCUAGGAAACACUUGGGGGCAGCUGUGAACCCACGAGUCUUGCCCAGUAGGGAGCUCAGGAUCCCCAAAUUGGACGAGCAAAUAAGCUUAGUGAGUGACAGUUCCACCAACGUUCCCCAAAGUCACAGUAGGCAUCCACUGCCCCUGUGUGUCCCCAGGCCUGCUUUGCCAGGUGGCUUCGGGGACGCAGGGCUAUACUUCCAGUGCUCUGCAGACACACCUCGGGCUUGAAUCCCAUCUCACUGAUUCCACAAAUAUUGAUUGAGGGCGUACUGGGUGCGAGGCCUGUGCGGCUGUGAGGGAGUCAAGGUCCCUGCUCCAGUGCAGGUGAUGGGCAUAAAACAGGACAACUUCAGAACCUGAGAAGGGGGACAAAGCAGAGUACUGGGAAGUGGCUGGGUGGGCACGGGGCAGCCUGGGAUGGGGUAAACAGCCAAUGCUUUGCCAUCCAUUCUUGGCCAGAUAUUAUUGGGGAUCCUACCUGCUCUCUCUACAGCCUUGGUUUCCUCACCUGGAUGGUGGAGCUGGAGCUCCCCUCCCCCCGCACUGCCUGACCCUGCUCUCUGGGUUGCCUCUAGGGAGCCAGCCCUGCUCAGGCCUGUUCCCCUGCUCCAUGGCUGUUAGCUCCUCCCGAGAAUGUUCCCCCAAAUGGAGGCCACUGGCAGCAAAGAAAUGAUCAAGACAAGGUAGCCCGGCCCGCACCGAGGGCUGCAUGGAUCCCGAGGUGCAGCUUGGGUGGACACUAGGGGUGCUUUCCGUCUGUGGAUUUUGCCCAGGUUCCUGGAGCCCCUUCCCUAUGGUCCCUUGACCAAGCCCAGCUCACUGAGCCUGGAGCCCUGGCUUCUGGAGAAGAGAUGUCAAACUCUACCACAGGUCACAGGUCACAGGUCAGAAAUAACUCUGGCCUUAUCCGAUGCAAGUGGGGGCCAGAUCUGGGGAAGGCGCCUCUUCUCACGGGGCUGGCACUUCCAGAGGAUGGAUGGCAGCAAGGUAGGGAAGACUCUGAGGAACCCUUGGGGAGCUCAAGUGGGACCCAAAGGGGCCUUCUGUCUGGGGUGGCAAAAUGGCAUUGGGUGGAGGGAGAUUCAGUAUUGACACCUGGGGGAUCCUUGCCCCCAAAGUGGAUUUUAAGGACAGCAGCACACUGGGAAGACAAGGGGCCCCACAGCACUCCCACCCUCUCCCCAGCCAAGAGAGCACAUGGGGGCUGAAGUCCAGCCCACCCCAGGCCCAGCUCCCUGAUCCAGGCUACAUCCAUCUGGAGGGUGGAUUUUCAGAAAGGCAUUAUACAGGCUAGGAGUGCCCUUCAGGCGGCCGGCUCUCUCAUCUGUAAAAUGGGCAUCAGUGUCUGAUGGUGGGCCCUGAGAGAUCCCUGUGGCAGUUUGGACACUUCUGUCCUCUGCUGGAUGAGGCCUCUGGGCCAGGCAUGCUGGGCAGAUGGCAGCCUGGGCGUCUUGCCUGGCUCCUAUUUGCAGCUGUUCACACAUUGUCGAGGUUUCAAUGUCAGGUUUUAAUGUUCUUGGACCUAAGAAUCUUCAUUGUCUCCAUUCUAAAUGCAGGGAGACCUUUGAUGUGGACUCUCUCAGGUGUUUUUGCAGUAUGCAAUGUGUUCUCAUUGGUCACCCUGCUGUGUACUAGAUGUCAAAACUUCUUCCUCCUGUCCAUCUGAGACUUUGGUCCUUUGACCAACAACUCUCCAUUCCCUAACUCUGCUGCCUCCCAGCUUCUGAUCACCAUCAACCUACUCUCUACUUCUAUGAGAUCAACAUUUUUACACCAACACUUCAAUGACAUCAUGAGAAAUUUGUCUUUCUGAGGUUAUGAAUAUGCUAAGUAGGUUGAUUUCAUCAUUCCAGUGCACACAUCUAUCUAAUCAUUACACUGUACCCCAUGAAUGAAUAUAAACAUGAUUUGCCAAUUGAAAUAGUAUUUAUAAACAUAAUAAAUAUAAUCAAAUGCAGGCAGUGCUGCUUGACUGCCCAAACUACUUGGUUUUGUCUUGGUCAUAGCUAUCCACCUGGUUUGUCAGUGCUAUCUUAUUAAGAUGAGGUUUUGGGGCUCGGCAGAAACAAAGCAAUUUCAGCAUGAAAUUGAGACAUCUUCUAGCAGCCCUGUGGAAGCCCUGGCUCAUUUUAUUCAGAGAGGCUGAAGUUAUACCAUCUGGCUGCCCAGCAUGGAGGGAGCUAGCUUCCUGGGAUGUUCCCUGGGACAAGGAUUCUUCUGGGUCUCCCCCACUGCUGCUGGUGCUCUGGGAGAAGAGGAAGGCCACAGGGCCAUGCUGGGGUGCUUUGCGUGAAAUGGUUCAUUUCAUCUGCAGAACUGGUAGGGGACUGGCAGGAACAGUGGCCUUUUGCCCUGACUCCUGGUCCUCCUCAGGCAUCUGAAAAUGGGAAAGGCCAGCUGGCUUUGAUUCCUCUUUGGCUCCACAGGGAAGGUGGAAACCUUCGCAGAUGGGGAAGUUCAGGUGGGGCCUACAGGAGGAAGGGACUGUGCUCUGAUGUUUUUCCACUAGAUGCUCUGAUGCUUUCCAUUAGAAAUAAAAAAAAGUUGGUGAGUGGCACUUUCUUUGAGUAAUUUUUUUCUGUAGGUCCUUAGAGUUCUCCAAGUAAAAUGGCAGGGCCCUGGCCAACAUAGUGUACAGGAUGAUGCCAAGGCUCCAGAUACUGGUGGUAGGGCAUUGGUACCCAUGGCCCAGGAAGAGUUCUGGGGCUACAUAAGAGUAAGUCAUAUGAAAGGUUCUCAGCCUCUCCCCCUCCCUAUGUGUCAUGCUGAAGCCAAAGUCAGUGAUAUUAACAUUGUGUGUGUUCUUCAUCCAGUAGGAUGUUUUGCGGCUGUAGCUCUCGAUGUGCGAUGUUCUUUCGGUGGCAGUACUGCAGUGCCUACAGAAUCUGCCUGAACAUGGUCCAGGCCUCCUCUUCCUCGAUGUGGCCAUGGUGGCAUAUCUGGUGGUGCAGCUCUCCUCCUCCAGUGUACUCCAUUGCCAAAUGGACAGUGUUUGCUGUGUCAGUCACCUGGUAGAGUUGAAUGAUGUUCAGGUGUGUAAAAUGCUGACUUUCCUUUGCCUUCUGCCUUAAGUUUCCUGAGACCUCCCCAGAAGCUGAGGCGAUGACAGCAUCAUGCUUCCUGUACAGCCAGUGGAACCAUGAACCAAUGAAAUCUCUUUUUUU